GCCCGCGAACUCGCCCGCGUCGAAGGUGCGCAGCAGCCCCAGGGCCCAAGGGCUCUCGCUGUCGCCCUCCAUCGCUCGCCUCUCGCCUCCAAGCUGAGCCGCCCCAGCCGCGGCCGCUGCCCAGGUGCUCAGGCUCAGCAUUGGGCUCCGAGGCCAGGGAACCAGAUAUACAUACCCAGGCCUCCAGAGCCAGCCCCCAGCUGCAAUCGGAGAGGGGACAAAGGUCACCGGACAAAGAUCACGGUCAGGGCUGGGUGGACUGGCCAGGCCCCUCCCUCCUCCAGACUUGGCCAUGAUCCUCACCGGGACCACUCAGCCCACUGUGAAGAACAUCUGGGGAAGAUCUGACCACUUGAAGUGCCCACUGGGAACAGCUGGCUAGCCUCCCUGGCCGGGAGGUGAGUGGUGGUGAUGGCAGACCCCCACCCCCGGGCUCUGGAGUGACGCAGCUACAAAACACAGAACGCCAGGACUGACAGCAGCGGCCAGAAGCCGGGAGAGGCAGGCAGGGCUCUCCCCUGGAGCCUCAAGAGGGAGCACAGCCCUGCCCACACCUGGAUCUCACACUUCCGGCCUCUAGAGUCGUGGGACAUUACAUUUUUGUUGGUUUAAGCCACCCAGUUAGUGGCACUUGGCUGCGGCAGCCCCGGGAAACUAGUAUACCCACCUGGACCAAUCACCGUCACGGUGACGAGGACCCUUAUUUUAUCCAAAAGCAGGAGACCGGCUUUCUCGGUGUCCGCUCGGCCCACGGGCCUGCUGCCUGCAGCUGACCCAUUUGCUCAUGUGGGGUCUGUGUUGGUUAACUGCACGUGUCACCUCCCGCCUGACGGCCUUCCCACUGAAACGCUGGCCUCGGGGUCUCUGGUUUGACUUGUCAGCCUCCAAAGCCACAUGAGUGAAUUCCUUACAAUAAACAAACAAAUAAGCACACGCACAUCCUAUUGUUCCGUUUCUCUGGAGAGCCCUGUCUCAUUCAGGGCCUUAACGGCUCCCUGCUUCACCUUAACCCUGUUCUAAAGCAGCCAGUCGUUUUAUUGGCAAAACUGGUAGACUUGCCUUUUUGCAGGCUGUCCUGUAGUUUAUAUUACGUUUUGUUUUCUUUUUAAAAAGCCAUUUCUAAGCCACUACAAUGAAGGCUGAUGCUGCUAUUCAAGGUCAGUGAAUGCACAGUUAGGGCAGGAGUCUUCCCCUGUCUGGACAGGUCCUCUGACAACAACAAGUAGAGAAAUGAGGUUUUCUCUCUCUGCAGCUGAACGGGCUGAAUUAAAAUGAUCUUAAAACAAGGCGUGUGAAGGUCGGUGGGGUGCGUGUGGAGGGCUCAGCUUUCACCGCUUCCUCU